AGGCAAGCGCAAACCCUAAUGCGGUGUAAACACUACUUGAUCUUAUCUGAGCAGGGAACACUGGCUUGGUCGAUGCCUUCUCAAAGCUCUCUGUGCUGCUCGCGCUGGUGACGGUGGAGCCACCCUUCUUUCUCCAUGUGAACGGUGCCGGAGGCUCCACCCCCAGCGGCAGGGCUGCUGAGACUUUGUGGCAUAAAGGCAAGGCCUUUGCCGUCGGACCCUGCGGUGAAGACUGCUCGCGGUCAGAGCCCUUCGAUUUACUUUGUAUCGGUUGGGCGGUGAUGGCCUCGCGGGCUUGCCUAUACAUAUAAAUCUUUAAUUUCUAUUUGUUUUGUUUACUUGUGUUUCUUUUUUCUGUUAGUUGAUCUUUUCUUUUGAUUUCAGUCCAACUCAUUUUUCUGUGCUCUUGUUUCUUCGUGUUUCUUUUUAGACUCUGGUUUUGUCAUGCUCCGUGAACUCUGAUUCGUGGUCUUAGGGGAAGUGUUAUGUGUUUUAACCAACUUCUUUAACGUAGGUUUCCUUUUCUGCAAAUACAUCUUUGCUGACCAUGACAUUAGCGUAAAUUAGAAUUUUGGCUCUUCUUGCUAACAUGAGAUCUUUCCCAGGAGAAAUCAAAAUGGUGACUGUCCGAAGUAGAGCACCUGGUGAUAAAGUCGAAAGUCUGCUAGGAGAUUACGCGAUGGUCUCACGUUCGAGGAGUUUACAUUAUUUUCUCUCGUCAAGGAGUUAACUUUUCACUGUGACCGAACAAGUUGUUCUUUCAUUGGUUUUGUUAUAUUUAUUUCUUCUACAUACAUAUUCAUACUGAUUAUGCCAUGUUCGCUCAGUACUCACCAGAUUAUGCUAUGAUAGAUCGCUAACCUAAUACCAUAAAAUAAAGAUCUUGCCAGGAAAUUG